UACGUAGGUGGCAAGCGUUAUCCGGAAUUAUUGGGCGUAAAGAGCGCGCAGGUGGUUGAUUAAGUCUGAUGUGAAAGCCCACGGCUUAACCGUGGAGGGUCAUUGGAAACUGGUCGACUUGAGUGCAGAAGAGGGAAGUGGAAUUCCAUGUGUAGCGGUGAAAUGCGUAGAGAUAUGGAGGAACACCAGUGGCGAAGGCGGCUUCCUGGUCUGUAACUGACACUGAGGCGCGAAAGCGUGGGGAACAAACAGGAUUAGAUACCCGGGUA
rnacentral:rRNA from 1 species